rnacentral:rRNA from 1 species
UACGUAGGGGGCAAGCGUUAUCCGGAUUUACUGGGUGUAAAGGGAGCGUAGACGGCGCUGCAAGUCCGGAGUGAAAGCCCAUGGCUUAACCAUGGUACUGCUCUGGAAACUGUGGAGCUUGAGUGCGGGAGGGGCAGGCGGAAUUCCUAGUGUAGCGGUGAAAUGCGUAGAUAUUAGGAGGAACGCCAGUGGCGAAGGCGGCUUACUGGACGGCAACUGACGCUGAGGCUCGAAAGCGUGGGGAGCAAACAGG